GAUGAACGCUGGCGGCGUGCCUAAUACAUGCAAGUCGAGCGAACAGAUAAGGCGCUUGCUCCUUUGACGUUAGCGGCGGACGGGUGAGUAACACGUGUGUAACCUACCUAUAAGACUGGUAUAACUCCGGGAAACCGGGGCUAAUGCCGGAUAACAUCUAGAACCGCAUGGUUCUAAAGUGAAAGAUGGUUUUGCUAUCACUUCUAGAUGGACCCGCGCCGUAUUAGCUAGUUGGUAAGGUAACGGCUUACCAAGGCAACGAUACGUAGCCGACCUGAGAGGGUGAUCGGCCACACUGGAACGGGAACAGGGUCAAGACUCCUACGGGAGGGAGCAGUAGGGAAUCUUACGCAAUGGGCGAAAGCCUGACGGAGCAACGCCGCGUGAGUGAUGAAGGUCUUCGGAGCGUAAAACUCUGUUAUUAGGGAAGAACAAAUGUGUAAGUAACUGUGCACGUCUUGACGGUACCUAAUCAGAAAGCAACGGCUAACUACGUG
rnacentral:rRNA from 1 species